rnacentral:rRNA from 1 species
GACGUAGGGUGCGAGCGUUGUCCGGAUUUAUUGGGCGUAAAGAGCUCGUAGGCGGCUUGUCGCGUCGACUGUGAAAACCCGCGGCUCAACUGUGGGCUUGCAGUCGAUACGGGCAGACUAGAGUGCGGUAGGGGAGACUGGAAUUCCUGGUGUAGCGGUGAAAUGCGCAGAUAUCAGGAGGAACACCGGUGGCGAAGGCGGGUCUCUGGGCCGUAACUGACGCUGAGGAGCGAAAGCAUGGGGGAGCGAACAGG